AGUGAACGCUGGCGGCGUGCCUAACACAUGCAAGUCGAACGAGAACGGAUUUAAGCUUGCUUAAAUUGUCAGCUAAGUGGCGCACGGGUGAGUAAUGUAUAGUUAACCUGCCUUUAAGAAAGGGAUAACAAUUAGAAAUGAUUGCUAAUACCUUAUAUGCCUUUUAAUCAUAAGAUUGUAAAGGGAAAUGCUUUAGUGCUUGAAGAUGGGACUGUAUCGUAUCAGAUAGUUGGUGGGGUAAUGGCCUACCAAGUCAAUGACGCUUAACUGGUUUGAGAGGAUGAUCAGUCACACUGGAACUGAGACACGGUCCAGACUCCUACGGGAGGCAGCAGUGGGGAGUAUUGCACAAUGGAGGGAACUCUGAUGCAGCAACGCCGCGUGGAGGAUGACACAUUUCGGUGCGUAAACUCCUUUUAUAUAGGAAGAUAAUGACGGUACUAUAUGAAUAAGCACCGGCUAACUCCGUGCCAGCAGCCGCGGUAAUACGGAGGGUGCAAGCGUUACUCGGAAUCACUGGGCGUAAAGAGCAUGUAGGCGGAUUAAUAAGUUUGAAGUGAAUUCCUAUAGGUUAACUAUAGAACUGCUUUGAAAACUGUUAAUCUAGAAUAUGGGAGAGGUAGAUGGAAUUUCUGGUGUAGGGGUAAAAUCCGUAAGAUCAGAACGAAUACCGAUUGCGAAGCGAUCUACUGGAACAUUAUUGACGCUCGAUGCGAAAGCGUGGGGAGCAAACAGG
rnacentral:rRNA from 1 species